GGGAGGGUGGAACGGCCCACUCGGAGUCCCAGCUCCUUCUCCUUCCUGUCGUCGUCAGCAGGGAGGGCCAGAGGAGGUGCAGCCAGCCUGCUUAGAAACUUUGGUGCACCGCGCUUUCUUCAAUUCUUUUUGCCCGGCACAGUUUGCGCCGUUGAAGAGGGCUGGAAGUUUAUUUCCAGCUAUUGCUGCAGCACUUCCUUCCCCUAGUGCUGUUCGUUCUUCUUACGGGAACUGGUACUCACUCCCUCCAAGUCUGUGAGCGUCUUGCUGGGGAUGGCGGAUCACCUUGGAGCUCUGAGGACCUCGCAUGGCCCAGGCUGAGAGCAUAUAGCUCUGCAGGGUCCCAGGAUAUGCUUAUGGAUCCAAGAAGCCUCCCCAGCUUUCUGAGGAUGAUAUCUGGCUAAAAAGCGAGGGAGACAACUAUAGUGCCACCCUCCUGGAGCCUGCUGCCAGCUCUCUUUCCCCAGAUCACAAAAACAUGGAAAUUGAGGUGUCUGUUGCAGAAUGUAAAAGUGUUCCUGGAAUCACCUCUACCCCACAUCCCAUGGACCACCCCUCCGCUUUCUAUUCACCCC
rnacentral:sRNA from 1 species